AGCCUUCUUCUUCACAAGGGACUAAACUGGAUGGGAAAGCUUCAAUGGUUUGGUUUUGAGCUGAGGCGUGAGCUGUGGACUUGCGGAAGCUUCAGCUCAGGUUCUGAUGAACCUGGCUCUGAUACCAUAUGAGAUUUGUAGAGUUCUCUUCUAUGGUUGUAUGUGUGUGUGUAUAAACUCCAAUGGAGAAAGAUGAGAGCUUGCUCUAGGUGAUUUAGAAAGAGAGAUUGAUGAGAGUGUUUAUGAGAGAAUAAGAGACUUAGGAACAGAGAUUAAGAGACUGAGAGAUUAGGAGAAUAAGAGAUUAGA
rnacentral:lncRNA from 1 species